GAUGAACGCUGGCGGCGUGCCUAAUACAUGCAAGUCGAGCGAACAGAUGAGAAGCUUGCUUCUCUGAUGUUAGCGGCGGACGGGUGAGUAACACGUGGAUAACCUACCUAUAAGACUGGGAUAACUUCGGGAAACCGGAGCUAAUACCGGAUAAUAUUUUGAACCGCAUGGUUCAAUAGUGAAAGACGGUCUUGCUGUCACUUAUAGAUGGAUCCGCGCUGCAUUAGCUAGUUGGUAAGGUAACGGCUUACCAAGGCAACGAUGCAUAGCCGACCUGAGAGGGUGAUCGGCCACACUGGAACUGAGACACGGUCCAGACUCCUACGGGAGGCAGCAGUAGGGAAUCUUCCGCAAUGGGCGAAAGCCUGACGGAGCAACGCCGCGUGAGUGAUGAAGGUCUUCGGAUCGUAAAACUCUGUUAUUAGGGAAGAACAUAUGUGUAAGUAACUGUGCACAUCUUGACGGUACCUAAUCAGAAAGCCACGGCUAACUACGUG
rnacentral:rRNA from 1 species